GCAAGUCGAGCGGACAGAUGGGAGCUUGCUCCCUGAUGUCAGCGGCGGACGGGUGAGUAACACGUGGGUAACCUGCCUGUAAGACUGGGAUAACUCCGGGAAACCGGGGCUAAUACCGGAUGCUUGAUUGAACCGCAUGGUUCAAUUAUAAAAGGUGGCUUUUACCUACCACUUACAAAUGGACCCGCGGCGCAUUACCUAGUUGGUGAGGUAACGGCUCACCAAGGCAACAAUGCGUACCCAACCUGAAAGGGUGAUCGGCCACACUGGGACUGAAACACGGCCCAAACUCCUACGGGAGGCAGCAGUAGGGAAUCUUCCGCAAUGGACAAAAGUCUGACGGACCAACGCCGCGUGAGUGAUGAAGGUUUUCGGAUCGUAAAACUCUGUUGUUAGGGAAAAACAAGUACCGUUCGAAUAGGGCGGUACCUUGACGGUACCUAACCAAAAAGCCACGGCUAACUACGUGCCACCAGCCGCGGUAAUACUUAGGGGGCAAGCGUUGUCCGGAAUUAUUGGGCGUAAAGCGCGCGCAGGCGGUUUCUUAAGUCUGAUGUGAAAGCCCCCGGCUCACCCGG
rnacentral:rRNA from 1 species